rnacentral:rRNA from 1 species
CGUAGGGGGCAAGCGUUGUCCGGAAUCAUUGGGCGUAAAGCGCGUGUAGGCGGUCCGGUAAGUCGGCUGUGAAAGUCCAGGGCUCAACCCUGGGAUGCCGGUCGAUACUGCCGGACUAGAGUUCGGAAGAGGCGAGUGGAAUUCCCGGUGUAGCGGUGAAAUGUGCAGAUAUCGGGAGGAACACCAAUGGCGAAGGCAGCUCGCUGGGACGUUACUGACGCUGAGACGCGAAAGCGUGGGGAGCAAACAGGAUUAGAUACCCUGGUAGUCCACGCCGUAAACGAUGGGCACUAGGUGUGGGAGGUGUCGACUCCUCCCGUGCCGGAGCUAACGCAUUAAGUGCCCCGCCUGGGGAGUACGGCCGCAAGGCUA